GGAAGAUUGGCAGAAUGGUUAUUGCAGUAGUCUUGAAAACUACUGUCCAUCUGGGAGUGGGGGUUCGAAUCACUCAUCUUCCG
rnacentral:tRNA from 1 species